GUAGGUGGCAAGCGUUGUCCGGAAUUAUUGGGCGUAAAGCGCGCGCAGGCGGUUCGUUUAAGUCUGAUGUGAAAGCCCACGGGCUCAACCGUGGAGGGUCAUUGGAAACUGGAGAACUUGAGUACAGAAGAGGAAAGCGGAAUUCCACGUGUAGCGGUGAAAUGCGUAGAGAUGUGGAGGAACACCAGUGGCGAAGGCGGCUUUCUGGUCUGUAACUGACGCUGAGGCGCGAAAGCGUGGGGAGCAAACAGGAUUAGAUACCCUGGUAGUCCACGCCGUAAACGAUGAGUGCUAAGUGUUAGGGGGUUUCCGCCCCUUAGUGCUGCAGCUACGCAUUAAGCACUCCGCCUGGGGAGUACGGCCGCAAGGCUG
rnacentral:rRNA from 1 species